CRUGSGGSAKCUUACACAUGCAAGUCGAACGCUGAAGCUUGGUGCUUGCACUGGGUGGAUGAGUGGCGAACGGGUGARUAAUACGUGAGUAACCUGCCCUUGACUCUGGGAUAAGCCUGGGAAACUGGGUCUAAUACUGGAUACGACAUGUCACCGCAUGGUGGUGUGUGGAAAGGGUUUUACUGGUUUUGGAUGGGCUCACGGCCUAUCAGCUUGUUGGUGGGGUAAUGGCUCACCAAGGCGACGACGGGUAGCCGGCCUGAGAGGGUGACCGGCCACACUGGGACUGAGACACGGCCCAGACUCCUACGGGAGGCAGCAGUGGGGAAUAUUGCACAAUGGGCGAAAGCCUGAUGCAGCGACGCCGCGUGAGGGAUGACGGCCUUCGGGUUGUAAACCUCUUUCAGCACGGAAGAAGCGAAAGUGACGGUACGUGCAGAAGAAGCGCCGGCUAACUACGUGCCAGCAGCCGCGGUAAUACGUAGGGCGCAAGCGUUGUCCGGAAUUAUUGGGCGUAAAGAGCUCGUAGGCGGUUUGUCGCGUCUGCUGUGAAAGCCCGGGGCUUAACCCCGGGUGUGCAGUGGGUACGGGCAGACUUGAGUGCAGUAGGGGAGACUGGAAUUCCUGGUGUAGCGGUGAAAUGCGCAGAUAUCAGGAGGAACACCGAUGGCGAAGGCAGGUCUCUGGGCUGUUACUGACGCUGAGGAGCGAAAGCAUGGGGAGCGAACAGGAUUAGAUACCCUGGUAGUCCAUGCCGUAAACGUUGGGCACUAGGUGUGGGGAACAUUCCACGUUUUCCGCGCCGUAGCUAACGCAUUAAGUGCCCCGCCUGGGGAGUACGGCCGCAAGGCUAAAACUCAAAGGAAUUGACRGGGGCCCGCACAAGCGGCGGAGCAUGCGGAUUAAUUCGAUGCAACGCGAAGAACCUUACCAAGGCUUGACAUACACCGGACCGGGCCAGAGAUGGUCUUUCCCCCUUGUGGGGCUGGUGUACAGGGUGGUGCAUGGUUGUCGUCAGCUCGUGUCGUGAGAUGUUGGGUUAAGUCCCGCAACGAGCGCAACCCUCGUUCUAUGUUGCCAGCACGKGAUGGUGGGGACUCAUAGGAGACUGCCGGGGUCAACUCGGAAGGAAGKGGGGAUGACGUCAAAUCAUCAUGGCCCCUUWWGUYCUGGCUUCMSGCAUGGCCUWACAAUGGCCAGGUWMMAAGUKGGGAUGUKCG
rnacentral:rRNA from 1 species